GAAAUGCGAUAAGUAAUGUGAAUUGCAGAAUUCAGUGAAUCAUCGAAUCUUUGAACGCACAUUGCGCCCGCCAGUAUUCUGGCGGGCAUGCCUGUUCGAGCAUCAUUUCAACCAUCAAGCCCCCGGGCUUGUGUUGGGGACCUGCGGCUGCCGCAGGCCCCGAAAACCAGUGGCGGGCUCGCUGUCACACCGGGCGUAGUAGGUUUUUCGUCUCGCCCAGGGCGUGCUGCGGGUUCCGGCCGUUAAAAAGCCUCUCUUUUAACCCAAGGUUGACCUCGGAUCAGGUAGGAAGACCCGCUGAACUUAAGC
rnacentral:misc_RNA from 1 species